AGAGGUGGGGAGCCUGUAGCCCACCAGAUGUUGUUAGGGAGUUGGAGUCCAGCAACAUCUGGAGGGCCAAAGUCUCCCCACCCCUGCUUUUUGACAA